ensembl:lncRNA
CUACUCACACACCUGAGCACUGACCUGUUCUGGAGGACUUCUGACAGGAGGUGGCGGUCUGGCUCUGGGUGAGGAGGUGGAGGUCUGGCUCUGGGUGAGGAGGUGGAGGUCUGGCUCUGGGUGAGGAGGUGGAGGUCUGGCUCUGGGUGAGGAGGUGGAGGUCUGGCUCUGGGUGAGGAGGCAGACACCUUGGGACAAACUACAUGUUAGUUUUUUAACCUUUUACAGUUCUAGAGUAUCUUCUACUGUAACAUGUGGGAAGGAUGGCCAUUAUUUUAGCUUUGAUAUCAUCAAGUUGGUAACUCUGCACCAAAGUCGUUUAACGUCAUUCGAUUGGGUAGGGUUUAACUUGUGGCAAUUAAUGACAGCAGAUUUUUAGAACAUACAAAAGCUGAACUAACAAACACUAGUAUCGAUAUUUAAUCAAAUUUACUCAUCUUAGCCAUAUUCAGGUGCUGUGUUCCGUUGAAGAAAUGUCAAAUUGUCUUCCACCUAGAAAUGAUUUUCAGCCUUCACGGAUUUCAAAAAUGGGCCCGCAAGUAGAAGGCAGUUUUGUACGCAGCGAGAGUCCUGUCAACGUGGUUAAAAGUAUGGCGCAACGAUCGAAAAUUAACAUAUUGUACAACGUACGUGUUAGUAUGCAUUUAAUCUCAAACUUAAGUUGUUUAAGAUAAGGGGCAACAAUUCCCAAUGGAAACCGACUGAAAAAUUGUUUCCGUUGGCAACGGCUCGAGGUUACGCAAAUACAAUCUAGAACGUUCAGCCAGAUUCCCUCAGGGGACUCCCGUCCAACUAACUGCCAAGUGGUUUCUUAUUGCUGUCAAGACUACAACGUUCUAUGCCAACCAUUGGGACUAAAUCAAGUGACCGCACUCAGAAACUUCCACGGCGGGAAGGACAAACCGUCCGACAGGAAUCCGAACAUUCCGGCCGGGAACCAACCAAAGAAAAAACAUAACCAGCGCCUCACCUUGAGCUGAACGGAGGAAGAUCCUGAAGUCCAGCGAUGGUCUUCAUUAAAAAACAGCCAACAGACUUACCUUGAGGAGAUCUGUUUGUUGCUGUUGGUCAUUACAUGAUUAUGCACCCAGUGUGUACACGUUAUAUCACUCAAAACCGUACGAAGAACCAUACUACCAAGUACGUCCCACAACAACUUUAAACCUCAAAUCCUUGCCUAAGAACAAAGGAAUCAUUCACUACAAAACAGUGUCUACAUUUUACAAUUAUCUAGAUUAUUCAGGGUAUAAACCAUACAGAGCAAAUCUAAAUGUUGUGCUCACAGAGAGCCGACCAUAGCCAAGCGUCACCUUGACCGCCUCAUCACCAACAGCAAAUCAUGCCACCCAGCCAACACAUGUACACGUCCAGUGAGAACUGGGCAUCUGAGCGAAAGGACUGCCCAUAGUAAAUAGAAGCCCAAUUCCUGAACUAGCCAACCAUCUUCAUGGUUUAAAGACUUGACAUGCCAUUGUGUUCUAAUCACCUUUGUCUGCUCCCUCGUUACUUAUAAAACUCUACAACUCAAUCACUAGAAUGAUGCAUCCUACUCAUGGGGGUGUGGUCUGAGUGAGCAGAGAUGCAUGCUGGGAUACAGUGCCGUCUCAAGUCUUCAUUACUAUAGACACGCGCCUCAGGAGAAACCAAGUGUUUGAGAAUCCGUCUUGACAUCAGUUGCAUGAGCUGGAAUAUCCUUCAAGAUGGCGCCAGGAUUCCAAGAGGAGAAAGGCCAAGAGGAAGAUGUGAGGGUUCUUCCUCUCAGCCAGUGGAACACAACAACGGUCCUCAUCAGAGUACCAUGGAACACUUUGAAACAUUCUCCUCUUUACACCUUGAAGCCCCAGUGAAGGUUUCCUUGCCUCCUCAGCUGAAGAGCACAACUUCAGCUCGAAGAGCGCACUAGUUGGAGUUCCCAGAUUUGGUUCCCUUAAAUCAGAACCGAUCGUUCAGCUAGUCCUGUCGAAACAAAUACAGUUCAGCCAGAGCAAGACAAGAUCCUCAGGGCUCACCAUCAAUCCAGCCAGGUAGGAAGAGCCGUCUCAUUACAGGUCUGAAGGUCAUCUUGAAUAUCCAUUGAGGACCCUUUCCGACUUCAGAGUCUCCUUGUGAAUUGCCUUUAGGUGUCCAUCCUCCAUUGAUCCUGAUUGGUGUAGUCCUAGUUUGAAGUCACUGAUCUGAACACGCCGCUUCCAUCCUUUUACACUUAAGUUGGGUACUCUCCUUCCUGCCCAGUGUGUUGAUAUCGCUCCGGAGCUUCGCUCUGGGAGGCCCUUAAGUAAACGUGAGGCCGGCCGACCAUCAGGUAUGAUUUAUUUGACCAUUCCAAUAGCCCCAGCCAUCACACAGACCUCCGUAUGAACAUUAUCACUGUCAAAGCAAGCCGGACACACACAGAACACGCACGUAGAACCCCAUGCCAGGUGUGAGUUGGAGACACAGUAGAACCCUAGCGAUGGUCAAAAAUCAUCCAUCUCAUGUCAAACCCACACACACACACACACACACACACCACUGAGCCAUAAAGGCCAAACAAUCAUGAAGGGUAAAAACCUGAUGCCAAAUAGCAUUCCAUCAUCCAACCCCAGCUCUCCUGCCAGGGCACCCAGAACAGAACAACCAAUGUCUCCAGAGACGUAAAUUAUGUACAACAUUCUUCAGUGGCGUCCCACAUUGGUGAUGGAUUAUGCUUGGCGUCUCCAAAAUGUGUCCCAGGUUGAUUCAAGGUCUCUGAAGUCAUGUCUUUGUAGUCCAGUGGUUUCCUGAAUGAGGGGCCUUCACAGAUGCAAAUGGUGCAGCUUUAGUCAGCCUGAGGACAGGAAGGAGGUCAUCUGUUCAGAAGACCACCCAGUGGAGGGGGGGUGGCUCUUGAGGAGCAGGAUCCAUAUGGGGAUGGCCCCAAAUAAGACCUUCUUGGAAAUGAAACUGUUCCUGAGGAGUCACGAUGCCUGGAGGGGCUGUCGAAUGUGUUCCAUGAUUCUCUGUGUCAGACUGAAGAUGUGUAUUAGUCGUUGAGAUGAGGAGCCCCCUCAUCUCCCCCGGGUGUUUCUCCUUCUGAAUCCCUCUCUCCAUCUUAAAGAACAUUCUAGUCCAUGUAACUGACGUCAGGACGGUUCCUCAAACGCUUGGUUUCCCCUGAGGGGACGUGUCUACAGACCUGUAGAAUUCAGACAGCUCUGUAUCCCAGUAUGCACCUCUGCUCACUCAGACCACACCGUCAUCAGUAAAGCAACACUCAUGUGAUGAAGAUGCAGAGCUCAGGAGAGUAGCUGGAAAGAAGACUGAAGGCAUCAGAACCCAACCCAUUACUCCAGCUUACAACAAUAACUUGGAGCCUGUAACCAUUUUAACAAAUCAUUAAAACCAACAUAAACCAAACACCUAAGUAACCCAUGAACCAAUAAAAAAUCCUUAAUACUCAGAUCAACCUUCAGGUAAACUCACCAGGAAGCCAAAAUACAUCAAUGUGCCUAAGAGCAAUGAGAAAUUAACGACUUACAGUUUGCAGUUCAUCUUCAUGGUCAAGUUGGGAUACUCACAAAACUGCAGUUAAAUAUCC